GCAAUUAAAAUGGUUCAUGGGAGAGAAUUCCAACAGGAGGAGGAGGGGGGGAAAAAAGAAAAAUAAAAAGAAAAAGAAAAAGAAAAAGAAGAAAAAACUUCCAGAGCUAUCAGCUAACGAAUCACAUGGUGACCAAUGUGCAGUUGUUUGGUCUGGUCAGCUUAUGGAAAAAAAGAAGCGACCUUUUACUCCCAGUGAUGAAAAUGAAAACAUCACCGCAGAGCAAACAGUUUCCAGUACAGUUGUGGUUAUAUUCCUCUGUUUCUGGUAAACUGAGAAUCUAGAGAGAGAGAGAGAGAGAGAGUAGGGGGUUGGGGGGGUUUUUUUUAGAGAGAGAAAGAGUGCUGUUCCUUGUGUGUAUUUGUGGCAAAAAAUAAUGACUUGGAGCUGCUGCUGCACACAGACAAGGGAAAAGUUGCCUAGAUCUCUCUCUCUCUCUCUCUCUCUCUCUUUCUCUCUCCUCAAAAGUCUCACCUGCUUCUCUCUCUCUUCACUUCAAGGUUAUGUCAUUGCGAGGCUUGAGUUCCGUUAAUCCACACUAUGAAGAAUAAGGAAGAGCUUAAACUAUUUCUUAUAUAAAGUUCACUUCCUCUGCAGUCAUUAUUUGUCAGCAUCUAUGAAUUUAUGCCGGAAAUUCCGGUUACUUGUAUGAGCAAUUUCAGUUCACUAUCAGCCCCCUUGUGCCAAUGGGCAUAGUAAAAAUCAGGCACCAGGGGGCAUUGAAUAAAAGCCGUGGUCGACUUGUUCAAGAGGAGAGGUUGCUGAUCAAAGGAGAAAUUGAUGAUGAUGUUGAUGACUCGGAUCCUGCCGAGGUUGGUUGUGAAUUGGUCAUUGUUGGAGACCAAACUUGCAAUAUUCCUUAUGAUCUAUAUGAUCUAACAAGCUUAAAAGAUGUACUCUCUUUAGAAACUUGGAACUCUUGCUUGACUGAAGAGGAAAGGUUCUAUCUAUCAGCUUACCUGCCCGAUAUGGACCAAGAGACAUUUUCUCUCACAUUAAAGGAGUUGCUUAAUGGAGAUAACUUGUUGUUUGGAAGUCCCUUGGAGAAUUUUUUUUGUAGUCUUCAAGGUGGAUUCUACUCUUUUCAAGUAGCCCCAAUUAGAGAAGGCCUCCGGUUUUUACAGAAACGAGAACACUGCCAUUCUUUAAGAUUGUACCAUGAGAGUAUGAAUGAGAAGUUUGAGGACAUGAGGAAGGCUUGGAGUAAUUGCCUACCAAGCACCACUAUUGAAGAAAGGGUUCGAAUAUGGAACAAUCGAAAAAUUCAGAAGCCUGUCCUACUUGUUGAUCUUAAUGCCAUCCCUACAGAUGAAGAAACAUUAAAAGCUGAAGAAUUUCCAUUAUUGAAGAAGACAAAAUACAUGGGUGAUGGUCUUAAUCUACAUACUCAUGCUAUUGAUUUGAAUAGUGUGGCAAUGAAUACAAAGCCAAAAGGCAAGGGGGUUUUGAGAAUCAGAGCCAUGGAAACAAAUUCAACAUCGAAUCAGAGAAUACGAAAUUUGCCAAGUGCUUCUCGGGAAACUUGUAAAAGGGUACCUAAAGGUGUAUUGAAAAUAAAGCCCAAAGCCGAUCCUUUUGGUCCAAACCAAAUUGCAAAUAGUCUAUCGGGAAUUCAUGAAAACAAAAUUUCUCCUCCAGUUUCAGCUUCGAAUUGGAAUGAAGAGACAGAUAGUGAUGAAGACACAAAUAGGGUUUCGGAGCAACCUGAGCCUUCAAAUGAUUGGGGAAAAGAAGAGUUUUUGAAAAUGGGCAUUGGAUCAGUCAAUGAUUCUCAUGGCUACCCUCGAAGAGUAAAGGCAAUGCUGAGCAAUAGACUGCAAGAUGCUUCUAGUCUACAACAAAGUAGAGUACUUUGUGCAAGCUCAUCUAAUUCAGACAUUUUUUGUUCCAGGAAACCGACACCAACAGUUUCAGGAGAAAAUGCAAGGAUGAGCUCAUUUCAACGGUAUUCUGAACAUUCAGAGAACAAGCAUAAAGAUCAGACUGAUGGAAAAUUAAGCACCACAUCAGACUCUACAGUUGUAUCAGGAGUUGAAAGAGAGAUCAUUUUUCCGAUAACAUACAAGAGGAAGAAACCAUUCAGAGAGUUCAAUCCAACGCAGUCUCUUAAACAGCCAGCUGUGGUCGCAAAUCUGGAAUCAAUUGUGUCAAACAAUGAUGAAGGAAAUCUAAUUGGGAAAGCUAAGACUGUAAAAAUAAAACUCAAAGGGUGGAAUAAUCACAAAGCUCAGAACAAACAGGGGUUCUUGAAUCGGCUGCAACAUGGAUCUCCUUGAGCUUCAAGAAACUUAAAGUAAACGAAAUCAUUUUGGUAGUAUCUUGGUGGAAAGCUGCAAUUUGAUGGCUAAACUUUUGACAAGGAGCUCCAAGGAAAGAUUUUGCAGACUCCUACAGUUUACUUGAAGAAGCAUGAAGAAAUGAAGAACAAUGAGAAGAAAGACCAACUAGGAUGUUCUUUCUUUGAAUUCCAGUGAGGAGACAGCACCUCACUUUCGAAAGAUAUGCAUAAAGUAGAUAACAAUCUUUGAUGAUCUCCAGCAUGUUUCUGAGAGAUGUGUUUGCCAGCUGUGUGACGGUGAACAUAGAAUGCAAGUGGUUACAUCAUUCUAUAAAGGGAAAUUUUUUUGUUGGAGUAUCAUCUAUAUACCUUUUAGCUUGUGUGCGCACGAAUCUCUGAAAAAGUCUAUGUAUGCCUUGCUUCAAAUAUAGAAAAACCUGAACCUUUUGCACAAGAAGAAUGAAAGAUGCAGACUGGAGAAAGUGUUGCUUUUCUUAUCUUGGUAUUGCUGUUUGUAACUCCCAUCCCAGGAUUGAGAAAAAGAUGCAGAAGUGUGAGAUUAUUAACGGAGUGCACAAAAAUGGAUCUUGGAUCUACAGGGAGUCAUGGAGGGGAGUUUUCGUCGUCGUCAAUGAAAGGACACGUAUCUCGUCAAUGAUCUGAAGUUUGUUUUUACUGACAAGGGAACUUGUUACAACUUCUCAGGAACCUCAGAAGUGUGAAAAGAUGGUGAGAGUAGCUGCAGUUGUUUCUAAUGUCGAGUUAGACUUGGAGAUUCUUUUUCCUACCAGCUGUUAUAUACUUUGUCAAGUUUAAGUCCUUGAUAAACCUUGUGCAUUAUACAAUAGUAACAAAGAAUUUUGUGUGGAGAACGUAUGUCGAGAAUCAUAUACGUUUCUUUGACUACUGGGUUC